GGACUACACGGGUAUCUAAUCCUGUUUGAUCCCCACGCUUUCGUGCCUCAGCGUCAAUAAUUGUUUAGCAAGCUGCCUUCGCAAUCGGUGUUCUAAGUCAUAUCUAUGCAUUUCACCGCUACAUGACUUAUUCCGCCUACCUCAACAAUAUUCAAGACUAAUAGUAUCAAUGGCAGUUUCCAAGUUAAGCUCGGAGAUUUCACCACUGACUUAAUAGCCCGCCUACACACCCUUUAAACCCAGUAAAUCCGGAUAACGCUUGCACCCUCCGUAUUACCGCGGCUGCUGGCAC
rnacentral:rRNA from 1 species